rnacentral:rRNA from 1 species
UCCGUAGGUGAACCUGCGGAGGGAUCAUUACUGAGUUACCGCUCUAUAACCCUUUGUGAACAUACCUAACCGUUGCUUCGGCGGGCAGGGGAAGCCCCUCGCGGGCCUCCCCUCCCGGCGCCGGCCCCCACCACGGGGACGGGGCGCCCGCCGGAGGAAACCAAACUCUAUUUACACGACGUCUCUUCUGAGUGGCACAAGCAAAUAAUUAAAACUUUUAACAACGGAUCUCUUGGUUCUGGCAUCGAUGAAGAACGCAGCGAAAUGCGAUAAGUAAUGUGAAUUGCAGAAUUCAGUGAAUCAUCGAAUCUUUGAACGCACAUUGCGCUCGCCAGCAUUCUGGCGAGCAUGCCUGUUCGAGCGUCAUUUCAACCCUCAAGCACCGCUUGGUUUUGGGGCCCCACGGCACACGUGGGCCCUUAAAGGUAGUGGCGGACCCUCCCGGAGCCUCCUUUGCGUAGUAACUAACGUCUCGCACUGGGAUUCGGAGGGACUCUUGCCGUAAAACCCCCCAAUUUUUUACAGGUUGACCUCGGAUCAGGUAGGAAUACCCGCUGAACUUAAGCAUAUCAAUAAGCGGAGGA